AUGUCGAUUAGCUGUUGGGCAGCUUGACUGCUUAGUAGCGAAGCUAACGCGUGAAAUCGAUCGCCUGGGGAGUACGGUCGCAAGAUUAAAACUCAAAGGAAUUGACGGGGACCCGCACAAGCGGUGGAUGAUGUGGAUUAAUUCGAUGCAACGCGAAGAACCUUACCUGGUCUUGACAUGUACGGAAGAACUCAGAGACGAGUUUGUGCCUUCGGGAGCCGUAACACAGGUGCUGCAUGGCUGUCGUCAG
rnacentral:rRNA from 1 species